rnacentral:rRNA from 1 species
UUUCCAGACUCCUACGGGAGGCAGCAGUGAGGAAUAUUGGUCAAUGGGCGGGAGCCUGAACCAGCCAAGUCGCGUGAGGGACGACGGUCCUAUGGAUUGUAAACCUCUUUUGUCGGGGAACAAAGGCGCCCACGGGUGGGCGGAUGAGUGUACCCGAAGAAAAAGCAUCGGCUAACUCCGUGCCAGCAGCCGCGGUAAUACGGAGGAUGCGAGCGUUAUCCGGAUUUACUGGGUGUAAAGGGAGCGCAGACGGCAGUGCAAGUCUGGAGUGAAAGCCCGUGGCUUAACUACGGGACUGCUCUGGAAACUGUGCAGCUAGAGUGCAGGAGAGGCAGGCGGAAUUCCUAGUGUAGCGGUGAAAUGCGUAGAUAUUAGGAGGAACACCGGUGGCGAAGGCGGCCUGCUGGACUGUGACUGACGUUGAGGCUCGAAAGCGUGGGGAGCAAACAGGAUUAGAUACCCGAGUAAC